UACGUAGGGGGCGAGCGUUAUCCGGAUUCACUGGGUGUAAAGGGAGCGUAGACGGCCAUGCAAGCCAGGGGUGAAAGCCCGGGGCCCAACCCCGGGACUGCCCUUGGAACUGCAUGGCUGGAGUGCGGGAGGGGCAGGCGGAAUUCCUGGUGUAGCGGUGAAAUGCGUAGAGAUCGGGAGGAACACCAGUGGCGAAGGCGGCCUACUGGGCUUUAACUGACGCUGAAGCACGAAAGCGUGGGUAGCAAACAGG
rnacentral:rRNA from 1 species